AUGAGGGUUAUGGUUGCAAUCGAAAACCCUUGGGACAUAAUUGUUCAAUAUGCUAGACCUUAUGAGAUAUAUGUGCUCAAAUUUGCCCAAUAUACUGGUGCUCGUACUUUUGUUGGUAGACACACCUCUGGCACAUUCACAAAUCAACUUCAAACUUCAUUUUGUGAGCCUCGUCUUCUUAUACUCACUGAUCCAAGAAUUGAUCACCAGCCAAUUAAGAAACUUGCUCUUGGUAUAUAUUGGUCUUUUUGA